CUAAAGUAAGGUAUGAGAGACCUUUAACAAGAUGCUGGGGGAAAUGUCUGUGGCACAAAGAGAUGCUCCCCACAGGUCUUCAGAUGAGAACACCGGACAAAGGGGCCUUGGCCUCGGCACUCGGCCUCAGGUGGGCAGAGAUGGGGUGCUGAAGAGCAGGGUAAGUGUGGACUCUACUUGCAAGCAAGAGCUGCAAAGGGAUCCUGGAUGGCCAGCUCUGAGAGCCAGGGGGCACAGUGGGCAAUCCUUCUGCAGAGCAAGCAGGAAGUACGGAGAUCUUUGGAUGAAGGAGGUGGAAAACCAGGGAUGGAAGGCUUGGGAUCAACUUACCAGGAAGAGGAAUAAACUGCGUCCCGGAUUUUCAGUAGACUAACAAUAUCUGAAGCGGGGAAAAGAAGAGACAAAUAAAAUGAGCGAGCAUAUUAAAAGACUGCAUUUCUAUAUUCCUUACACACCGAUGGAACACACAGUAGAUGCCGAGAGUGUGAAACACGUUACCUAAGCUCUGCAGAUAACACAGGGAAGACCCUUGCUCCUUUCCAGCUGAAAAGAAAAUAUGGAAUUAUACAUCUAGUGUUUUUUCAUAUGAAACUGGAUAAAACUGGAGAUCUUCAUGCUAAGCAAAUUAGGCUAAACUCAGUCAAAUGUUCCAUGUUAGAUUUAAAACGGAAAGCACAAAGCAUUUAAGGGGCCUCUUUCAGUCUACUUUUAGCCAGGUUGAGGAAGCAGCUAUAAACCAUGUUUCCACUUCAAACAACCCAUAUGAACACAGUUAAAGAAUCUCAAAUAAUAAUUCUCAGGACAAUGGUCCUUAGCAGACAGGGAGUAAAUGGACGCUAUGAAUGUCCCAGGUCUCUGGCUCUCACCACAUUAGGACAAAGAGCUGAGGUAGCGCUCCUUAGACUUCAGACAAGCGUGAGAACACAGGACAGAGCAGGGAGGAGGCAGCAAUGCAGAGGAGCACCCUGCAGGUCUGCGGAGGGCCCCUGGAAUACUUCGCCAAGCACUGAGCAAGGGGCGUAUAGGAGGAAACUACAUGAACCAAGGAUAAAACACCUGAAAAGGUUACAUGAAAUCUCAUUGCUCCCACAGGACCAAGAAGAAUAUCUACUCUGCUUAGUCAGACUGGACAAACACAAGAUAAUGGAUACAGAUCAGAAAGGGGUUCAUCAUAGCAAGGAAAAUAAGCACAUAGAAAAUGUUCAACAUUUAUCAGCAGUAUAAGGCACUUUAAGACCAUGAUGAUAUACAUAUCAUACACCUCUAACAAUAGCUAAGACUUAAAAUACUGACAAGCGUGUUUGUGAAGACAGAGCCCCGUGUUUGUGAAGACAGAGCCCUGGAUCUCUCCUAUCCUGUGGACUGGAAAACAGGAGCACGGGAGAAGAGCAGAGGCUUUUGUGAGAGACUGGCUAAUUAUCUUGAUUAUGGUGUUUAUUAGGUAUGUGCUUAAUACACAUGUUGAAACUAACCAAAUGGCCCUUUAUAUAUCAAUAUGCCUUGCUGAUGCUGUGCAAAAUAAAAGAGGCUACUGCAAGAGCAAGCUUCUAAGACAGCAACUAGGACACGGAAAAGGGAGGAGAAAACUAAAGGAUUGAGAAACCUAACCUUGUAGCCAAGGGUUGAUGUGAUCAGAUCAGAAUCUUUGCAACUACACAAUUACAGUGAGAGAGAGAGAGAGAGAGAGAGAGAGAGAGAGAGAGAGAGAGAGAGAGACUGUUUGCAUGAAGCGGGCUAGCAGGGGAAACAGCCCUCUAGUUUCAUGGUACUCUAGACAGAGACCAGGUGUCUUGGGUUACUCUGCUAUGAAACACUGACCAAAGCAACCUGGGGAGGAGAGGGUUUAUCGGGUUUAUGCUCCACAUCACCGUUCAGCAUCAAAGGAGUCAGGACGGGAACAGAAGCAGGGCAGAAUCCUUGAGGAAAGAACUGAUGCAGUGUCCAUGGAGGGGUGCUGCUUACUGGCUUGUGCCACAUGACUUGCUUAGUACAGAAUACCGGCCCAGGGUGGUACUACCCAUAGUAAUUUGGACCCUCCUGCAUCAAUCACUAAUUAAGAAAAAUGUUCUAUAGGUUUGCCCAUGGCUGAAUCUUAUAGAGGCCAUUUCUCAAUUGAGGCUCCCUCCUCUCCCAUGACGUCAGCUUGUGUCAAGUUGACAUAUAACUAGCCAGCACACGAGGUAACCUCAUCUAGUGAUAAUAAGGCACAGAAGAAAAGCAAGAUCAACGAAAAGACUGGAUGCGUCAGUCCUACAAAGGAAAGCCCAGUGAGCGUGACUACAGUACUUUGGCUGAGGGUCACAUACUACUGUAACAUGAAGUCUAUUUCUACAUGCACAGCGGUGUACUGGGUCAAUGCGAAGCGAAGUAUGCAUGUAUUACCAUGUGCAGAAAGGCUGACCAUUCAUUCACACAAGUGUCAUACCUCUACACUCCAGCCUGAGAUGCUCGAUUUCACACAAAACGCUCUCAUAAUCGGGGCCCUGGAGCUCACAGUCCUCGGAGGCGGUUUCAGACGACUCGGUCAAGUCAUUGAUGUCGUCCACAGCAGCUACUUGCUUUCUGACCUACAAAAUAAACACUAUUUUAAACUGUUUCCCUAAUAUUUACAUUAUACAUGAAAUAAUGCUUUAUACAAGCAGAAACAGACAUUUCUUAAAAGAGCUGGCAGUUGGCAGAAGGAUGCCUUUAUUUAUGGCACUGCUUCUUCCUUUUUAAGGCCAAGUCUUUCCAUAACACUUAUUUUUUCACUUUAUAUUUCUUAUCUUUUAACUUAUAUAUCACUACCUUUCAUAAUUUAUUUUAAAACAAAAUAUCAGUUUUUAUUAUUUUUACAUUACCUUGUUAUUUUUAUUAGAUGUUUUCUUUGUGGGCCUAAAAUAGAAAACAAACCCAUAAAAAUCCUUUAAGACUAAUAGUAUGUGAAAUACAAAGAAUAUCUAAGAUUAUUGACUUUUAUACAAAGCCUCUACAUUUGAAAUUUAUUUCUUUCACUAAUAAAGUUUACAGGCUAUUUAAAAUAAAAUAUUUUUCUAUAAGGGAAUUUGAUUACAAACAGAGAGUAAAAAUAAAAUAAUUAUUAAUAUCAUAAUAAGGAAUUAAAACAUAUACACACAUAUUUUUUACUUAGCUGAGGAUGACCUUGAGCCUCCUCCCCUGACCACCAGUGCUGGGGAUUUAAGUGUGUGCCACCAAUGCCCACAGUGGGCUGCUGGCAAUCAAAUAAGGGUUUGUCUAUUCUAGGCAAGCACUCUACCAAUAGUCAUAUACUCAGGGCAGAAAGAAUUAAGCUUAGAUCAAUUUUCUGGUUCUAAAAGUAAAGGAAAAACACGCUAUUUACUUUUUGAUAGAAAUAUACAGAGACAGCUGAACCAUGCCCGUGGGAACUCAUGAAAUCGAGACUGACAGCUGUGGAGUCUGCAUGGGAUGGAACUGGAUCCUCUGCCUGUGGGAGACAGGGAAUAAAGAACUCAGAUCUUACCUCGCUUCACUUUGGUCGGUGUCACUUAGACUGGAACCAUCCUGCAGGUGUGGUGAACCACCGGGUGGUGAGGCAGACUUCUCAGUCACUGGCAUCGCGACAGAUUCUCUGGAUACCCACUUUUCAUUUUCCUUUUUCUUCAUUUCCUUCAUAAGCAAGGGAGGACCUCUAAAACAAUCCAUUAAAAAAGCUGGUGUCUUACAAAUAAUUCUACUGACAAAGAUUCAAGAAAAGUAAUUUUGGGGAAAUUCUGAUUCUUUUCCACCUUAAUUUACUAAAAACAAAAAAAAAGGCAAUUAAACACUAGCUAACAGCAAAUGCAUAAAUAUACAAUAAAGGCACAUGUGAUGUUGCAGAGUUGCUAUAUGAGAAGUUUUAUCUGAGGAUAAGAAAAGCUUUUCUGAAGAGGUCAAAGUGAGCCUGUUUCCACCCUGGAAGUGUUUCCAGAGAGGGCCUGCCCCUCCCAGCUCCACAGGCCACCUAACUACACAGCCAGCUUCCCAAGCUCUCCUCCCACAGUGCUCACUGCCCAGAGUUUACUCAAGGCAGAGCAACCACACUUGGUGAGCCACACUAGAAGGAAACAGAAGAAAACCAGCAAGGGGGUGAUGUUGGAUAAAGUCUGUUCAUGAAAACUGUAACCUAUUUUCAAACCUGCAAGGCAUCAAUAAAAGUUCCACAAAACAAA